AUUGAACGCUGGCGGAAUGCUUUACACAUGCAAGUCGAACGGCAGCACGGACUUCGGUUUGGUGGCGAGUGGCGAACGGGUGAGUAAUAUAUCGGAACGUGCCCCGUCGUGGGGGAUAACGUAGUGAAAAUUACGCUAAUACCGCCUACGAUUUACGGAUGAAAGCGGGGGAUCGCAAGACCUCGCGCGAUUGGAGCGGCCGAUAUCAGAUUAGGUAGUUGGUGAGGUAAAGGCUCACCCAGCCAACGAUCUGUAGCUGGUUUGAGAGGACGACCCGCCCCCCUGGAAAUGAGACCCGGUCCCGACUCCUACGGGAGGCAGCCGUGGGGAAUUUUGGACAAUGGACGCAAGUUUGAUCCCGCCCUUCCGCGUGCCGGACGAAGGCCUUCGGGUUGUAAACUGCUUUUGUACAGAACGAAAAGGUCUCUAUUAAUACUAGGGGCUCAUGACGGUACUGUAAGAAUAAGCCCCGGCUAACUACGUGCCCGCC
rnacentral:rRNA from 1 species